rnacentral:rRNA from 1 species
GGUUUGAUCAUGCUCAGAUUGAGCGCUGGCGGGAUGCUUUACAUGCAAGUCGAACGGCAGACUGUCUGCGGUGGCGAGUGGCGAACGGGUGAGGAAUGUAUCGGAACGUGCCUAGUAGCGGGGGAUAACUACGCGAAAAGGUAGCUAAUACCGCAUACGUGAGCCUCGGGGAAAGUGGGGGACCUUCGGGCCUCGCACUAUUAGAGCGGCCGACGGAUUAGCUAGUUGCGUGUUCACCACCAAGGCGCGACGAUCCGUAGCUGGUUUGAGAGGACGACCAGCCACACCGGGACCGAGACACGGCCCAGACUCCUACGGAGGCAGCAGUGGGGAAUUUCGCACAAAUAAACCUGAUCCAGCCAUCCCGCGCAGCGAUGAAGGCCUUCGAAGAAGCACCUUUGCAGGAGGAAACUGCAUGACACCCCGUGCAACUGACGGUACCUGCAUAUCAGCACUGGCUAACUACGCCAGCAGCUGCGGCAAUACGUAGGGUGCAAGCGUUAAUCGGAAUUUUGACGGGCGUAAAGCGUGUGAGAGAAGUCGGAAAGAAAGACGAAUCCCAGAGCGAACUUUUGAAACUAAUUUUAACUACUGAGCUGGAGUGUCAGAGGGAGGUGAAUCUCGCGUAGCAGUGAAAUGCAGAUAUGCGGAUGGAACACCGAUUACACAUGCUUCCGGAGGCACACUGACGCUCAUGCACGAAAGCGCGGAGCAAACGAUUAGAUGUCUGGUAGUCCACGCCCAAACAUGUCAAAUUAGUUGUUGGGCUCGGGCUCUUGUGGAAAAGCAGCUAACGAUGAAGUUGACCGCCUGUAUAAAUGGCCUAAAGAUUAAACUCAAAGGAAUUGACGGGGACCGCACAAGCGGUGGAUGAUGUGAUUAAUUCGACAAACGCGAAAACCUUAAUGCUAAAUUUUUGACAUGUUCGAAUCCCGAAGAGAUUUGAGUGUUUUGCAAGAGAACCGGAAUACAGGUUAGUAUGGUCAUAAUGUCAGCUCAGUCGUGAGAUGCUGGGUUAAGUCCCGCAACGAGCGCAACCCCAUCACAGUUGCUACGAAAGGGCACCUGAAGGCACUGCCGCGACAAACCGAGGAAGGGGAUGUCAAGUCCUCAUGGCCUCUGCAGGGCUUUCACGUCAUACAAUGGCUGCACAGAGGGUCGCCAGCCCGCGAGGGAGCCAAUCCCAGAAACCCGACGUAGCCCGGACCGCAGUCUGCAACCUGACCCGCAGCGGCCGGAAUCCGCCAGCAAUCGCGGAUCAGCAUGUCGCGGUGAAUACGUUCCGGCCCGCGGCGACACCGCCCGGGUCACACCAUGGGAGUGGGUUUUACCAGAAGUAUUAGCCUAACCGUAAGGAGGGCUGAUUACCACGGUAGGAUUCAUGACUGGGGUGAAGUCGUAACAAGGU